AAAGAGUGAUGUCUACAGUUUUGGUGUGUUAAUGCUUGAGCUGGUAACUGCUAAGCAACCAAUUGAGAAAGGAAAAUACAUUGUUCGUGAAGUACGAAUGGCAAUGGACAAGAAUGACGAACAACACUAUGGGUUGAGGGAAAUAAUGGAUCGAGCCAUUAGAAACUCUGGAAAUCUUGUUGGGUUUGGGAGGUUCAUAGAGCUGGCAAUGCAAUGUGUGGAAGAAUCAGCAGCAGAACGUCCAACAAUGAGUGAA
rnacentral:misc_RNA from 1 species